GGCAAUGUGGCGUAGUCGGUAGAGCGUAGGUUUGCCACCAAAAAGGAUCCGGGUUCGAGUCCCACCUUUUCCA
rnacentral:tRNA from 1 species